UAGCUCUCAAACUCUGUUUCUCUUUUCUUCCUCUCUCCGUCUCUAUCUCUUCAUCUCGUGUCUCUCCGUCUCUUCUUCUUCUUCUUCUUCUUCUUCCAGAUUGAUUCUCAAUCACUCUAUUAUAUUUGAUUGAUUGAAUUUAGUUUUUGAUCGAUUUAGAAUCGGGAAAACGAAUUACUCGUUAAAGGCCAUUGAUCGGACCUUCAACUUCGCUCAUGGUAAGUCACGAGUACCACCAUCGCUGCUGUUAUGCUUGAUACAAAGAAGUUGGAUCAACGAUACUAGAGAAUGGGAGGAGGGGUUUAGAGUUUUGCAUUUGGUGAGACCGUUUUUUGCAUUGUAUAGUUCUCAUCAUCCUCCAGCUUUUCUUUGCCGGAAUCAUUGUUAUCUGCCUUGACGAGCUUCUUCAGAAGGGGUAUGUAUGGUCUCGGCUCAGGAAUCUCCCUUUUCAUCGCCACCAACAUCUGUGAGAGCAUCACCUGGAAGGCAUUUAGCCCAACCGGCAGAACCUUCCCAAUGUUACCAACUGGCUUGCCACAGUCCAAGGGCCCCGCGUGGUUUUGCCUAUGAGAUCAAAGAAUGCCCGUGGACAACAGGGUUCUUACCCAAUCAAGCUGUUCUACACCUCUAACAUGCCCAUCAUUCUCCAAUCCGCUCAGCUUCUCUACAGGAAGUUCAGUGGAAACUUCUUUGUGAACCUUUUGGGACAAUGGAAAGAAUCUGAGUACAGUGGGCAAUCUAUUCCAGUUAGUGGUCUGGCUUACCUCAUCACAACUCCAGCAAGGUAAUGCAAAAAUAUCAUCGAUGUUUGUUUUAAUCCACAAAUUGUUAUCUCCACCAACAGGUUUGAUGAAUAUAUGUUACUAUAUUUAAUAAAUAAAUUUUAUUUUUAAUAAAACAAUGUUUAAUAAAUUUUUUUUUAAGAACCCUUAGUUAAUAAACUAGCAUUGAAGUACAAAAUUUAAAUGUGUCUUAACUAAAUUUCUUAACUACGUUUAAUUACUUAAAUAAUCAUUAAGAGACCCAAAUGGGGUUCCUUGGUUAAUCAUGCUCUUAGGUAAGCUCAUACGAAAGCGUCGUAAUUAAUAUUGCUGACUAAUUCCUGAAAUCCCUCGCUUACUAUGCCUGUAAUGAGAGUAUCCUAUUCUUCUUCUCCCACAUCACUCUUACAACGUUUAUAACCUUCUUAUCUAUAUUAAUCUUUUAAUCAAAAACACAGGAAAACGGCCAAGUCCAAUCUCAACAUUGCUUCACUGUCUCAAUCCAAACAUAUAUUUAGUACCUAUGCUAAAACAUAGUCAACGUAUGAACACUAUCUGUUUUUUUUUUUGAAAUCCGGAUCUACUAAAGACACAGACCUAACCUCCGGGUGGAGUUACAUCCCACAGAUAGAUUCUCUCCUAAUAUUCAAAUGAAAACUAUCCGUCACGUAUUGAAAUAUAAAAAUUCUAGUUAUCAUUAUACUUUAAUACAAUGUUGAAGUCAGAACUGGCCACUAUCUUACCAUUACCAUGGACACAUGCGUCACCAAGAUUAUUUUAAUUCCCAUGGUUUCUAAUAGAUUCACAAGACAUUUCUACACUUUUUGUAGAAUAUGAUCGGUGAUAAUCAAAAUCUUCUGUUUUUAUUUUAAUCAAGUCGGUGCCUUGAUGCCAUGCAACUGAAGAAAAAUCCUGGUAACCCUAUGGCCCGGGGAUAACUCUUCUCCACCUGAAAUAGAUAUAAAUAUCUCCGCCACAAAAUUCCAACUUUGACAACUUAGAACAGCAUUAACAUGGGUUCUAACGAGGAGUUAUUAAUGUUUUUGGGUUAAAAAAAAGAGGUAAUUAAGCAAAUAACGUCGCUUAAAUUGGGGACAGAGGAAACGUCUCUAAUUGGACACGCGUUGGUGUUUGGAGGCGUUGGUUCCUCUUUGUCGACGACUCCAACUCUCUCUCUCUCUCUCGCUAUCCUCGUUUCCUCCGCGUCGCUCUCUCUCUAUCUCUCUUGCGAUCUCUCUUCCGAUCUCUCCUCGUCCGAAUCAGAAGAUGAUCUCUUCUCGACGGGAUGAGUCGGCGCCUCUCGACGACUCCUUCUCUCUUGCUAUCCUCGUUGCAUGCGCGUCUAUCUCUCAAUCCUCGACGCCUCCGUCUCUGUGGCUCUCCUCGACGGAAUCAGUCCGCGCCGCUCUCGACGACUACUCGUCUCUGUGGCUCUCCUCGACGCCUCCGCGUCUCGCUCUCGAUCGUCGACGGCUCCGCCGUCCUUCUCUAGCUGUCGACGCCUCCGCGUCUCGCUCUCGAUCGUCAAACCGAAAGGUAAAUCGAAGUCAAACCGAAUCGGUCUUAGUUAUUUUGAUAUGGUGGUUGUGUUGGCCCUUACAUUUUGUCUCUUAUGUCUCAAUCAUACUUUGUUAUGUAUUGUUUAUGUCUCCUGAUUCAUGUAUGGAUCACCACUGAUACAUUUUCAUUUGUCAAAUACGAGGACUACUCUCCGGAUCAAGCUGACAUGUUAGUUCGGCAAAGACGAGGAUCAAACGACAAUUCGGCGGCGGCAAAGACUACAGUGAAUCAGCUUUUCAUCUUUCAAACGUUUCAUUCUUCUUCUCGCCUUCUCUUCUUUCAAAAACCUCGGGGAAGAUAGUGUCCAUGUUUCUUCAUCAAAGGUUCCUCUUUAUGGAACUCCGCGAAGUGAAGAUCCUCAUCUCGGUGAGACCCCUGCAGAGCGUAAAGAAAGAAGAACAUGGACGCCUACAGAUGAUCAAGUGCUCAUAUCUGCUUGGUUAAACACUAGUAAGGAUCCUGUUGUAGAGAAUGAGUAGCGAUCCGAAGCUUUUUGGCAGAGAAUCUUUGUUUAUAUGUUUUUUUUAAGUUCUAUGUUUAAAAUGUAAUCUUUUAGAAUGUUUUAAUU